ACGUAGGACGCAAGCGUUAUCCGGAGUUACUGGGCGUAAAGCGCGGGCAGGCGGCUCGAAACGUCUGAUGUGAAAUCUCCUCGCUCAACGGGGAGAGGCCAUUGGAAACGGUCGGGCUGGAGGGCAGUAGAGGCAGGCGGAAUUCCGGGUGGAGUGGUGAAAUGCGUAGAUAUUGGGAAGAACACCGGUGGCGAAAGCGCCUUGCUGGGUCUGCACUGACACUGAGGGACGAAAGCUAGGGGAGCAAACGGG
rnacentral:rRNA from 1 species